ensembl:lncRNA
AUGAUUGGAAUGAGCAAGACAUUAGUGAGUUUGUUGCUUUUUGAUGGAACCAAAUGGCAGAACUCUGAAGCGGACAUCGAGCAUCGAACACAGGCCUUGAAGCGUGAGGGUUUCUGGUCAACGAAGCGCCUCAGCCGCCUGACGGAGCCUCAGCGACCCAAAGUUCAUUGGGAUUACUUGUGCGAGGAGAUGCAGUGGCUUUCUGCUGACUUUGCUCAAGAGAGACGCUGGAAGAGAGGCGUGGCCAGAAAGGUGGUCCGAAUGGUGGUGCGACAUCACGAAGAGCUUCGGCAAAAAGAGGAAAAAGCAAAAAGAGACGAACAUGCCAAAAUCAGAAAAAUUGCCUCCAAUAUCGCAAAGGAAAUCCGAUCUUUCUGGAGUAAUGUUGAGAAGGUGGUUCAGUUCAAGCAGCAGUCCAGGCUGGAGGAGAAGCGGAAGAAGGCUUUAGAUUUGCAGCUGGACUUCAUCGUAGGCCAGACGGAGAAAUACUCCGACCUUCUCAGCAAGUCACUGGCUCCCAGCAGUCUGCAUGUUUUCUCUACCAAAACCCCUUAUCUCCACACAGACAGAGACUUCGAGCCUCCGUGUGAAGAGGAAGAUGACGAGGAAACCAUAGAGGUUGAGGAGCAGCAGGAGGGCAAUGAUGCUGAGAGCCAUCAGAGGGAAAUUGAACUACUGAAGGAAGAGAGCAUGUUGCCCCUUGAUCAACUUCUCAGCACUCUCAAAUUACCUCCUCCACAGAUACCUCAUCUAAAUGAAGAGGAAGAGGAGCAGGAGCGGGAGGAAGAGGAAGAUGGGGAAUUUACUGCUAAUGAUGAGGACGCCGAGGAUGAAGAGGACACCAUAGCAGCACAGGAGAAGAUAGAAGGAAAUGUCGAUCAUGCAGAGGAGCUUGAUGACUUGAACAGAGAGGGGGAAAUGAGCAUUGAAGAGCUGCUGGAGAAGUAUAAAGGAGCUUAUGUGUCCGAUUUCGAAGAACCAUCUGGUUCUGGCUCAAAAGCAAGCUCCAAUUUGGAGGUUUCUGGUGACGAGGAGGUGGAGACUGAAGAAGAUGAGAGUGACGUUGAAAGCAACACAUCUUCCUCAGAUUCACCGGGAGACAGCGCUGAAGAUGAGGAAAGCGACAAGGAGGAGAUGAGUAAUGAGGAAGCAGAUGAUGAUGAAGGAAUGGAGCUUUUGCUGAAGGAGGGAGACGGCAGUCUGUCUUCUUCCGGCUCUCGACCAAAGAAAGAAAUCAGUCAUAUUGCUGCUACUGCUGAGAGCCUGCAGCCUAAAGGUUACACUCUGGCUACUACAAAGGUCAAGACUCCUAUUCCAUUCCUGCUUCAUGGCACUUUAAGAGAAUACCAGCACAUCGGGCUGGACUGGUUGGUCACCAUGUAUGAGAAGAAGCUGAAUGGAAUACUAGCAGAUGAAAUGGGUCUGGGUAAAACCAUCCAAACCAUUGCUCUGCUGGCUCACCUUGCCUGUGAAAAAGUGAACUGGGGCCCCCAUCUCAUCAUUGUCCCCACCAGUGUGAUGCUAAACUGGGAAAUGGAGUUGAAACGCUGGUGUCCCGGGUUCAAAAUCCUCACUUACUUUGGCAGCCAGAAGGAAAGAAAGCUUAAGAGACAGGGCUGGACGAAGCCGAACGCUUUCCACGUGUGCAUCACCUCAUAUAAGCUGGUGCUGCAGGAUCACCAGGCCUUUAGGCGGAAGUCUUGGCGUUAUUUAAUCCUCGACGAAGCUCAGAACAUCAAGAACUUCAAGUCCCAGCGUUGGCAGAGUCUGCUGAACUUCAACAGCCACCGGCGACUGCUGCUGACGGGAACGCCUCUCCAGAACAGCCUGAUGGAGCUUUGGUCCCUCAUGCACUUCCUGAUGCCUCACGUCUUUCAGUCCCACCGAGAGUUCAAGGAGUGGUUCUCGAAUCCGCUGACGGGGAUGAUUGAGGGCAGUCAGGAGUACAACGAGGGUCUGGUGAAGAGACUUCACAAGGUGCUGAGGCCGUUUCUUCUCAGGAGGAUCAAGGCUGACGUUGAGAAGCAGAUGCCCAAAAAAUACGAACAUGUGGUGCGCUGCCGUCUCUCUAAGAGGCAGCGAUUUCUCUACGACGACUUCAUGGCACAAGCUUCGACCCGUGAAACUUUAGCCAGUGGACACUUCAUGUCUGUGAUCAACAUUCUCAUGCAGCUCCGCAAAGUGUGCAACCACCCCAACCUGUUUGACCCCCGACCCAUCCAGUCGCCCUUCAUCACACAGCCCAUCGUCUUCUACACUGCCUCCAUAGUGCAGGAUGCACUGGACGUUCCCCCUCUCAAGGUCGUUCCACCUACAACUCAGACUUCCAAACCUGCUGUUUCUGAAGUCUCCCCAGCUUCUGCACCUGCUCCUGUAGUUCAGCAAGGUUAG